AUGAAGCUUCUAGCUUGCUAGAAGUGGAUUAGUGGCGCACGGGUGAGUAAGGUAUAGUUAAUCUGCCCUACACAAGAGGACAACAGUUGGAAACGACUGCUAAUACUCUAUAUUCCUGCUUAACACAAGUUGAGUAGGGAAAGUUUUUCGGUGUAGGAUGAGACUAUAUAGUAUCAGCUAGUUGGUAAGGUAAUGGCUUACCAAGGCUAUGACGCUUAACUGGUCUGAGAGGAUGAUCAGUCACACUGGAACUGAGACACGGUCCAGACUCCUACGGGAGGCAGCAGUAGGGAAUAUUGCGCAAUGGGGGAAACCCUGACGCAGCAACGCCGCGUGGAGGAUGACACUUUUCGGAGCGUAAACUCCUUUUCUUAGGGAAGAAUUCUGACGGUACCUAAGGAAUAAGCACCGGCUAACUCCGUGCCAGCAGCCGCGGUAAUACGGAGGGUGCAAGCGUUACUCGGGAAUCACUGGGCGUAAAGGGCGCGUAGGCGGAUUAUCAAGUCUCUUGUGAAAUCUAAUGGCUUAACCAUUAAACUGCUUGGGAAACUGAUAGUCUGGAGUGAGGGAGAGGCAGAUGGAAUUGGUGGUGUAGGGGUAAAAUCCGUAGAUAUCACCAAGAAUACCCAUUGCGAAGGCGAUCUGCUGGAACUCAACUGACGCUAAGGCGCGAAAGCGUGGGGAGCAAACAGGAUUAGAUACCCUGGUAGUCCACGCCCUAAACGAUGUACACUAGUUGUUGGGGUGCUAGUCAUCUCAGUAAUGCAGCUAACGCAUUAAGUGUACCGCCUGGGGAGUACGGUCGCAAGAUUAAAACUCAAAGGAAUAGACGGGGACCCGCACAAGCGGUGGAGCAUGUGGUUUAAUUCGAAGAUACGCGAAGAACCUUACCUGGGCUUGAUAUCCUAAGAACCUUUUAGAGAUAAGAGGGUGCUAGCUUGCUAGAACUUAGAGACAGGUGCUGCACGGCUGUCGUCAGCUCGUGUCGUGAGAUGUUGGGUUAAGUCCCGCAACGAGCGCAACCCACGUAUUUAGUUGCUAACGGUUCGGCCGAGCACUCUAAAUAGACUGCCUUCGUAAGGAGGAGGAAGGUGUGGACGACGUCAAGUCAUCAUGGCCCUUAUGCCCAGGGCGACACACGUGCUACAAUGGCAUAUACAAUGAGACGCAAUACCGCGAGGUGGAGCAAAUCUAUAAAAUAUGUCCCAGUUCGGAUUGUUCUCUGCAACUCGAGAGCAUGAAGCCGGAAUCGCUAGUAAUCGUAGAUCAGCCAUGCUACGGUGAAUACGUUCCCGGGUCUUGUACUCACCGCCCGUCACACCAUGGGAGUUGAUUUCACUCGAAGCCGG
rnacentral:rRNA from 1 species